GUGCUCGCUUCAGCAGCAUAUAUACUAAAAUGGGAAUGAUACAGAGAAGAUUAGCAUGGCCCCUGCAUGAGAAUGACACGCAGAUUCAUGAAGCGUUCCAUAUUAAA